GUCAGAAUGGCCGAGCUGUCUAAGGUGCACCGUUAAGGUUGCAGUCCUCUCUUGUGGGCGUGGGUUCGAAUCCCAUUUCUUACA
rnacentral:tRNA from 13 species